AAACAAAAUUUUAGCCAGCAAAGUUGCAAGCCUUGAGAAAAUCACUCUUCGAAAAGAAAUGAAGAGGAAGCCCAGGAUGGCCUGCCCAAGAGGAAGAAGACAUUUCUGAUGAGAAACAGCCAGCUGGAAAAAGACCAAGGAAAACAUAGUGAAUUAUGAUAUCUCGAUUUCAAAGAUACCUGUACUCCUUUUUUGGGACUCCCCCUGCUUCCUGCCAAGAAGAUCAGCAGACAUGGAGUUCAAAUUCUAACUAUAGGCAAAAUAUCCAUUUUCAAUCCAAUCAGAAACAUAUCUACCAACCAAUCAAUUGAAGAGACUGCAGUGAAUCAGUCAAUACUUGAUAAGGAAGACACAGUGCACUUCUGGGUGCAGAUAUGGGAUAACCCAAAGAAAUACAACAAGGACACAGCUUGGUUAAAGGAGGUGAAUAAGAAUAAAAAAACUGAAAUGAAAGAACAUGUAAUAACAGAAAUGGUAGACAAAAGAGCAAGGAAGAUCAAGAAUUGGUCAGCACCAAGUGAAGAGAACUACAUGGUUUGGGGGUUCUAACAUCUGACUGGGCUAACACUCAUGGUUGCCAAGCAGUUCAACAACAUACUGCAAGGAAGUGAAAUUGAAAAAUGGCUAACAUCUGGCAAAACUUACCUGAUAAUGAAAUAUCCAGUAAAAGGGGCAGCACCAGGGAAGUACAGACCUUAUGCUUAUGGCGACUCAUAAGCUUAAAGCUGAUGGAAGCCAGGAAAGGUCUGCUUUCUGUACUGCCCAGUUCUGGCCCUAGCACUGUGUGAGGGAGUUGGCUCCCAUUACUCCCCUCAGCUUUUGCCAGCCUAGGAGUUCAAAAGCAUG